GACGAACGCUGGCGGCGUGCUUAACACAUGCAAGUCGAACGGAAAGGCCUCUUUCGGGGGGUACUCGAGUGGCGAACGGGUGAGUAACACGUGAGUAACCUGCCCUUGACUUUGGGAUAACUUCAGGAAACUGGGGCUAAUACCGGAUAGGAGCUCCUGCUGCAUGGUGGGGGUUGGAAAGUUUCGGCGGUUGGGGAUGGACUCGCGGCUUAUCAGCUUGUUGGUGGGGUAGUGGCUUACCAAGGCGUUGACGGGUAGCCGGCCUGAGAGGGUGACCGGCCACAGUGGGACUGAGAUACGGCCCAGACUCCUACGGGAGGCAGCAGUGGGGAAUAUUGCACAAUGGGUGGGAGCCUGAUGCAGCAACGCCGUGUGCGGGAUGACGGCCUUCGGGUUGUAAACCGCUUUCGCUCAUGACGAAGCUUUGUGUGACGGUAGUGGGUAAAGAAGCACCGGCUAACUACGUG
rnacentral:rRNA from 1 species